rnacentral:lncRNA from 1 species
AUCCCUAACCACCUUGGGAUGCCAAAAUAAAUGAGUCAUUUUUGGCAUGCGUGCAGGUGGAGAGAAAAGUUUUCACCAUGAAAAAUAUUAGAGUUUUAUCAAGUGAAAGGUGGGGCAUGAGUAGUGUUGGGUGUGGGUCUUUUUGGCAGUACACCUUAGGGUUUUGAUCUAGGGUUUCAGGAAGAGAAGAAAAAUAAGAAAAGAGUGUCUUGUCUUCAUUUUUCUUCCACUACUUUCUCCUCCC